CUUAAGUGACAUUUAAAGGGUCAUGGUUAAAAAUACAAUGCUUCUCUAUUUGCCACCAUAACCUUUUUAAGCAAGGUACACAAUGUUAGUAUUUUAGAACUAUAAGUAAAAUCUGCUCAAUUUGUAUUUCUAAUUCACACAGCGUUCUAGGGAAUGAAAACCGUCCAGGGGCUUAUGAACUUCACCUGUCAGUUAAGGAUUACUGCUUUGCCCGAGAAGAUCGAAUUAUUGGAAUGACAGUAAUUCAACUACAGAACAUAGCUGAAAAAGGAAGCUAUGGGGCUUGGUAUCCUCUUUUGAAAAAUGUGUCCAUGGAUGAAACUGGUUUGACUAUCCUCAGAAUACUCUCUCAGAGGACCAGCGACGAUGUUGCUAAAGAAUUUGUAAGACUUAAAUCUGAAACAAGAUCUACUGAAGAGAGUGCUUGAAACAAAUACUGAAAUAUCUUUUGAGAAUCCAUAUACUCUCAUUGUUUGACUACUGCAUGCAUGUGCAAAUACAUGGGAAUGUUUAUUUCACUACGUUUCACUGUUUGCCAGUACUCAAGUACAAUGUCUACAAGGUAUGUGCAAAACCUGCUGAACUUUUAUACCAAUUCUGGUCUUUGGGAAAUCAAUGUUCCAUGAAGUGCCAAAAUUAUGAUGUAAAGUGAAAUAUCAAGAUUCUCUUUAAAUGUUUAUUUCAUCUCAUUACCAAUUUCUUAGCCAUGAAAAGUUUUUUUAAGUUUGUCCAUUAGUUAUCUUUGUUACAUUAGUUUAUAUGGCACCAUCAGAAAUCAUUUGUUACUCAACUUCUGUUUUAGCCUUACCUCAUUCAUCUGAGUAAAUACCCUUUUCUACCAUAACUAGAAAUGCAGUGACUUCUAGAAAGUAUUUGUAAUUUUAUAGUUGCAGAUAUAUUGUGAUGAUUUUUGCAUACAAAUUAAAAUAGAAAAGGUGGGAAAUAUUUUAUGCUGACCAGUUUCCAACCUUUCUGAAAUAUCACUGUGAAGAAAUGCUAUUAAAGCAAACUUACACAAAGCAAUGCUAAAUAGUUUGUUAACGUUUGAUAUAUUGACAAACCUAUGUUCUUUAAAACUGCCAAGGUCACAUCACAUUUGUUAAAAAAAAAAAAAAGGUAAGUUGAUGCAUUUGCCACAUAGCAUUAUGUCUCAGCUUUACCAUAAUUAUUCUUUGGAAAGUCAUAGGCUUAAUGGUUUAGAAAUGGUAUGGAAUAACUGUUCUGUUAGUAAUUUCCCUCUGACAAUUAUGACUAUAAUCAGUUAAAUGUUUUUUUUUUUUUUAACAAAACUCAGUGAUUUAUUCUGAAUGCAGCAUUAUUAUAUAUUGCACUGGAGCCAAAAUUUAUGUAUUCAUCUAUUUAGUGAAAGGACAAAAUGCAAAAUUGUAAGCAAUUUCUUCAGUUUGUUAUUUACAAGCCCAAAAUGCAUCAUAUUCAAUAGGAAAACAACACAGCUUAGUACAUUGAUAUCCCAACAUUGGUUUGGUUUUUUUAUUAUGAAAUAGCUUAUGAAUAUUGCAUUUUCUGGAGUUUUAAGAUUUGCCUUUUUGGAAUCUGUGCCUAACUCCUUGGUUACAGAAUAGUAAUUGUAAUUUAUGGUCAUAACUGUUAGUGGACUACCUACACAUGCAGAAACAAGAACCUAUUACAUCGAUUGUUUUGUAAACAAGCUGGCCUAAUAUGUUAAAGAAGAGAUUGGUUCUGAGAAAGAUGACACUACUCAUUCUGCUACUGGGUGUGAAAACACCCAGACCAGUGAGAUUGGCUAAUUUGUGUUAAACUCUUAGGCAAUUGCUUUGUUAAUGACUUCUCCAAAUGCAUACUAUGAUGCGAUCUCUG
rnacentral:lncRNA from 1 species